UACGUAGGUGGCGAGCGUUGUCCGGAUUUACUGGGCGUAAAGGGAGCGUAGGCGGACUUUUAAGUGAGAUGUGAAAUACCCGGGCUUAACUUGGGUGCUGCAUUUCAAACUGGAAGUCUAGAGUGCAGGAGAGGAGAAUGGAAUUCCUAGUGUAGCGGUGAAAUGCGUAGAGAUUAGGAAGAACACCAGUGGCGAAGGCGAUUCUCUGGACUGUAACUGACGCUGAGGCUCGAAAGCGUGGGGAGCAAACAGGAUUAGAUACCCUCGGUA
rnacentral:rRNA from 1 species